rnacentral:lncRNA from 1 species
CCGGCAGCUGCCCCGUCUGAGAGCUGGCUCCAUGUUCGGCUUUCCCAGGAGACGGUGCUGGAGGAGCAGCACAGGACGAGGAAGGGCUUCUCUUGCAGGCUCCUCAGUGAGGUGUCCCGCAGCAUCCAGCCUCCUGCAGCAGCCCAGAGAGUGGCCUGCCAGAGAGUUCCACCCACACCGGCACUUCAGCAAACUUUCCUGCAGCCAGGGCGCCUCGGCUGUACCAUCUCUAACAAGAUCUGGUCAUACAGAGUGGAGGGGUUGCCUCAGCCCAGGAAGGAAGCAGAAGACCCAGGCAGAUGCAAGCAGGAAAGAAGGCUGAGCUCAGUGGCACAUGCCUGUAAUCCCAGCACUUUGGGAGGCUGAGGCAGGAGGAUCGCUUGAACCCAAGAGUUUGAGGCUGCUGUGAGCUGUGAUCACACCACUGCAUUCCAACCUGGGCAACAGAAGGAGACCCUUUCUAAAAAAUAAAAUAAAAUAAAAUAAAAUAAAA